AUGUUUAAGAGCUAUCUAACUAUACAGUUGCUGCAGGUUCACCAAUGCUUUUGGCUGAGUCCAGGCGAGACCAAACAGGAAGUAGUUGUGCUGUCUGCUCUUCAGGAUGUUUACCUCUUCCUCUUCACACAGGAGCCAGACGAGAGAAGAGACGGGUCACUGAAUGAGUCACCCACACUCAAUAUAUGUCCACUCCGCCUGGAGUCCAGCAGACUGAGUUUGACCACAGGAAUCAGAGGUUCCUGCGUCAUGACAGGACAUCAGCCAUCAGACGCUUUUAAGUGCUAAAGACCAGUGAACUGUGAUUAAUAAGAUGAAUAUCUCAAGCACAUUACAUGCUGCUCUAAAUCAGUUUUGCAUGAGGUCUUAGGAAAAUUUAUAUGAUAAUGAAAACAUUAAUCACAUUAAAACAUGUCCAGGUCACAUUUUAUCCCCUAAUCAAAAGUUUUUUAAGUUUUUUUUUGUUUGUUUUUUAUGCAAGAAAAUUAAGCGUUUUUCAGGAAAAUUAGACAUGUUUUCCAAUUAAAUAAACAUUUUGUUAUUUUUAUUUUUUUGUUGUUAUUUAUUUAUACAAAACAAAAGUUUAUAAAGGUUUUUUUUUUAAUAUAAGAAAAUGAAGAAGCAUGACAUGAAAAUUUAUGAUUUUCUUUUUUUUUUUCAGGACAAUUAAGCAAGCUUUCCCAUUAAAUAAACAUUUUGUUAUUUUUUGCAUUUUUUAUUUUUAUUAUAAGUUUUAUAUAUAUUGGAAAAGGCAUAAAUUAAAGACAGCAGAUAAAUACUACCAUGAUCAUUAAAUACUUCAAAAGCUAAAUAUAUUUUUACUAUUUAAAUAUAUUACAUUACAGUAAGGCAAAUUAGAUUUUUUUUAUGCAUUACAGUUAUGGCCAUUUGUGGAGAAUUUGUAAAAUUUUCACGAAAUUCAAAAUAAAAUAUUAAACCAAGUACAAAUGAAAUAAAAAUUUUAAAAAAUCAUUUUCUUAAUUGAUUUUGCCAUGAAAUAUGACCAAGCAUGUUCUCUUAUAGGCUUUCAGGUGCUGAAUGACAUACAAAGGUGUUUGAUUUUUGUUUUAUGAUGCAUCUCUUAAUAAUUUUAUAAAAAGACAUAAGGCAUUGACCUCCUGAACAGAUGCAUGCAGAGAAGUGAAGAAACUCUCAGACAAGAUUUAAAUAAACAGGGACAUCAAUACUGUCCCAUAUAGAUCUCUAAAUAAUUUUGCAAAUAUUAGUCUGACUGGAGGAAUACUGUCAUGUACAAAUGCUGAAUGUGAGACACAACAUUCAUAUUUCAAAAAUGUUUAGAAAAUAUAAAUCCAUUUUAUUGAGUUUGUUUAUAAGAUCAGAACUCAAUGAGAAUAUAAUUUAAACACUUCAUGUUUUAUUUCAUGUGAGCUGUACACAUUUAUAAGACAUUCACGUGUCACUGACGUCACCUUUCUGUUGUUCUGUGGUCAGAAGCGCCCUCUAUCGGCCACAGAGUGAAAACGACACUACAUGAUUGCAACAAUUUAUAAGGAUGGCUUAUACUGGCUUUAAAUACUGAUUAAAUAAUUCCAGUCCACAGCUGCAAUACUGCACUUAUACAUUAAUCCAGAAGUAAAAACUCUGUUUCUAAGCUAUAUACCUCUUUGAAGUGUUUUUGUGAGCUGCCUUUGAGGCAAUGUUAAUGUUAAUUUAGCUUUAGCUUAACAUAAUUCUAGAGCCUUCAGCCUCCCUGAACAAAAAUCAUUUUAAUCUUUGGUCUGAAUAACAAUAGCAAUAAUAACAAUAUUCAGAAAACACUUUCUCUUUUUAUCCAUUUCAGUUGUCUACCCAGCUAACAUGGAAGGUUGUGAACAAAUGUUUGUCCAUUAAUGUUAAAAAAUGUUCAGAGAACUUUCAGAAAUAACGGUUUCAUUACUUAAUGGGAACGUUAGCAAAAGUGCUGGUGGGUAAUACAUUACAAGUAAUCGGAUUGCUUUUUAAGUAACUAGUAAAGUAACGCAUCCUACUUUUAAAUUUACAAUUAAAUAUUGGUGUUACUUUUUCAAAUAAGGCCUUACAGUUGCCUAUACACACACACACACACACACACACACACACACACACACAUAUAUAUAUAUAUAUAACUUGUGGGAUUUUUAUUAUGAAAAAAUCUAAUUAAGCAAGACCAGCCCAGUUGAAAAAAAGUAACACAAAAGUAACGUAAUGCAUUACUUUCCAUUAAAAGUAACUACUGUAAGAAUGUAUUUAGUAGUUUUUUAUGGAGUAAGGCAUUAUUGUAAUGCUUUACUUCCAAAAGUAACUUUCCCCAACACUGGGUAGCAAAACGUUCUUAGAACAUGUUUUUGUUAGCUGGGUAGUCACAGUCUUUCAGAUCUACAUGAGCACUGGCGAUAGUUUGCAUAUAUCUGAGAGCUCAAGGCCCUAUUAUAAAGUCAUACAUUUCCAGCCUAAAGCAGCUUAUUCCUUGGUUGUGUUCCUUUUAAAGAUAUCAGGUCACAGGGUAGUUAAGAAGGGCAGCUCCUUCCAAACGGUUCACACAGUGCAGCUUGAGAGAGAGAGAGAGAGAGGCCCGAACUGACCCUUAACCAGCUAAACUAGUUCAGUUAACCUAAAUAACCAGCAAGUUUUGGGACCUUUCAUUAUAUUACACUAGUCUGCCUUCAAAAACAAAACAAAAAGUCAGUUUAACCCACUUGUGCCUGUGACACACCAGCACUGUGUCCAUCUAAACCAGUUAAAGUCCCAUGAAAUGGUUUGAUGAGCUCACUUUUCUUUCCUGUGUUGACGUAUAUCCUGUUGAAACAGGAAGUUGGGGCGGGACAUAAGGAAAGAUUGGUGCCUUUUUAAAAUACUAAAAAUUAGUCUUUCGUUUAUGUCACAACCACCCAAAACUAGUCUGCACUGAGUUGACAAAAGAACUUUCUAAAUAAAUUCCAGUCACUUCUUACUAACUUUUUGAACAAAGAAAAUAAUAUGAAAAAUUUUGUUUAUUUUCAUAUUAAAUAUCUCAAAAUGACAUUUAUCAUUUAGCAUUUAUCGUUUAGCACUAUUAAAUUAUAUACAUAUUUUUUUUGACAUUGCUUUGCAGUUGCUAAGGUGCUGUCAGUAGCUUUUUAGAAUGUUGCUGUGCAGUUGCCAAGGUGUUGUCAUGCAGUUGCUAAGGUGUAAUGUUGUGUCUGGCUUUUUAGAAUGUUGCCGUGCAGUUGUCAAGGUGUUGUCAUGCAGUUGCUAAGGUUUAAUGUUGUGUCUGUUUUUUAGAAUGUUGCUAUGCAGUUGUCAAGGUGUUGUCAUGCAGUUGCUAAGGUUUAAUGUUGUGUCUGUUUUUUAGAAUGUUGCUAUGCAGUUGCUACGGACCGGAAUUGAGAACCACUGGUCUAGUCUAUGCAUAGUCCAUAUUUUUGGACUGGUUUUCUAGAGGGAAGGGUCAUGCAUUUCAAAUGCAUAUAUUUGCAAAAAAAAAGAAAAAAUUCAGAUGCCAUGGUCACACACCCGGCACAAUGCGACGCAAGGCAGUGCAAGUGUGUUUGCUAGUUUCAGUCCAGCGCCACAUCGUUUAAUUAGCAAAUGCAUUUACACUAAUUUUUGCGCCCAUGGGCAUGCUGGUCUAAAAAAGAGGAUGUGUUCAGGCACAUUGCUAUUUUAAGGAGCUGAAAAU
rnacentral:lncRNA from 1 species